rnacentral:rRNA from 1 species
AUGAACGCUGGCGGCGUGGAUAAGGCAUGCAAGUCGAAAGGGUUUAGACCCUUGGCGAACGAGGUAGUAACACGUAGGUACGCACCCAGAAGUCGGGGAUAACCCGCCGAAAGGCGGAAUAAUACUCGAUGGUCUCGCGAGAGUAAAGAUUUAUCGCUUCUGGAGCGGCCUGCGGCCUAUCAGCUAGUUGGUAAGGUAAUGGCUUACCAAGGCAAUGACGGGUAGGGGAGGUGAGAGCCUGGCCCCCACCGAUGGGACUGAGACACGGCCCAUACACCUACGGGUGGCUGCAGUCGAGAAUCUUCCGCAAUGGGCGAAAGCCUGACGGAGCGACGCCGCGUGGUGGAUGAAGUCCUUCGGGACGUAAACACCUUUUAUGAGGGAAGAAGUUUAUUGACGGUACCUCAGGAAUAAGGGGUUGCUAAACUCGU